GUGGGCGCCGUAGACCUCGUGCAUGGCGGCGGGGCGGGGGUAGGCGGAGCCCUGCGCGCCCAGGACGGACGGGGAAUAGAGUCACAAACUUGAAAGGCUGAACGAAUAUUUUGAAGUCUUGCUAUCCUGCAUUUAAAUAAGCGUGUCUGCAGCUGCUAAGGGCAGUUUCUUUAGACACGAAUGAUUGGAUUCGGAUAUUGCAGACAGAGGGGCUUUCAGCUGGAACUCGGGUACCAUGGAGAACUCAUGGAAGACAAGGUUGCGGGGAGAAAUGAAGGGAGGCCAAGGCAGGCUCCUUCUCGCUUCGGGCCACCUACUCCGGGCAGGACAGGGGCCUGUUUCAGCGUCCCUGGCCAAGACACGCGACACAUUUCAGCAUGGCACAUCUUCAUGGACACCACUUUUCAACUUGCUUCCAACGCUGCCAUUGAAUCUAAUGAGUCCCCCUACUGUUAAUGCUAAGAAAGAGAGGGGGGGAAACAUCAGCUGUUAUUUCUAUCCGGUAUUCUAGAUCUCCUGCAACAAACGGCAGGUAAAUCGGGAAGACGUGUGUAAUAUUCUGCCUGAACAAAGACGGGUCAGCUAAACCUUCCCUAGCCAUGUGCAAGCAAAGCAGUCUGAAUGCAU